rnacentral:tmRNA from 1 species
GGGCCUGUACUGGUUUCGACAGGGGUCAUGCAGCUGGUGAAGCUAUCCCCAUGCGAUGGGUUAAAUGGCAAAAUUAAAAUUAAACGCUGAAGAUAAUUUAGCAUACGCUGCCUAAUGGCAGCUGUCAGCCCUAGUGCACUCACACAUUAGGAACCUGGCAUCGACUAUGUGAGAAACGACACAUGCAAAGCUUUGAGCAUGCGGGCGUAUCAUGAAGCUACUAAAGUGUUCAGGGUGUUAGUUCCCGGGGCAUGGAGGGAAUGUCAAAGAACUGACUAUGAUAGUAGAAGAACAGGGAAUUGAUUUUUGGACACGGGUUCAAAUCCCGUCAGGUCCACU